rnacentral:rRNA from 1 species
GGGUUGUGAGGUUAAGCAACUAAGCGUACACGGUGGAUGCCCUGGCAGUCAGAGGCGAUGAAGGACGUGCUAAUCUGCGAUAAGCGUCGGUAAGGUGAUAUGAACCGUUAUAACCGGCGAUUUCCGAAUGGGGAAACCCAGUGUGUUUCGACACACUAUCAUUAACUGAAUCCAUAGGUUAAUGAGGCGAACCGGGGGAACUGAAACAUCUAAGUACCCCGAGGAAAAGAAAUCAACCGAGAUUCCCCCAGUAGCGGCGAGCGAACGGGGAGGAGCCCAGAGCCUGAAUCAGUGUGUGUGUUAGUGGAAGCGUCUGGAAAGGCGCGCGAUACAGGGUGACAGCCCCGUACACAAAAAUGCACAUGCUGUGAGCUCGAUGAGUAGGGCGGGACACGUGGUAUCCUGUCUGAAUAUGGGGGGACCAUCCUCCAAGGCUAAAUACUCCUGACUGACCGAUAGUGAACCAGUACCGUGAGGGAAAGGCGAAAAGAACCCCGGCGAGGGGAGUGAAAAAGAACCUGAAACCGUGUACGUACAAGCAGUGGGAGCAUGCUUAGGCGUGUGACUGCGUACCUUUUGUAUAAUGGGUCAGCGACUUAUAUUCUGUAGCAAGGUUAACCGAAUAGGGGAGCCGAAGGGAAACCGAGUCUUAACUGGGCGUUAAGUUGCAGGGUAUAGACCCGAAACCCGGUGAUCUAGCCAUGGGCAGGUUGAAGGUUGGGUAACACUAACUGGAGGACCGAACCGACUAAUGUUGAAAAAUUAGCGGAUGACUUGUGGCUGG